rnacentral:lncRNA from 1 species
UAGCAACAUAAAAUAAAACUAAAUUAUAAUAUAAUCUAGCUUUAGAACAAUUAUGCCCUGCACCAUUUCUAAAAACAAAGACAAUUACUUUAUGGUGUAUAGUAUUUAUAUCUCAAAUUUAAAAUUCAACGUCCAAAAUAUAAUCUAACCUAACACAAAGCCGGACCUUGGCGGGCUCGAACCGCCAACCUCCCAAGAAUGAGGUCCCUGGGCGCUCUUGCCAUUUUUGAGCUUAAAGAUCCACAGAUAACGAAAUUAGAUCCUUAUUUCCCAGGUCGCACAAUGCGACGCACACGUGGGAAAAACGCAAGUUCUCUAGUACCAUUUAUUCUGUUAUUGUUGAUUAAUUCACCACAUUAACUACAUUACCCUACUUAAUUUAAUCAUGUUGCUGUUUAAUGUCCUAUAAUAAUAUGAUUCUUAAAAGAGACGAUAAACAGCAUUUCCCCCCUGAUGGCCGUGGGCCUUCCAACAACAUCCUGUGAGGGCAUAUUCAAGGAAAUCAUUUUUUUUAAUCCCAAAAACCUGCAUCUGGAUAUUCGAUUUGAGCAAUUGAAUAACUUCCGCUCUCUAAAAUCCAAUAGAAAUAGCAAACUUAUCAACAAGUCACAUCUCUCACAGCAUAAUGGUUAUACUCCCACCAAAAGUUAGUGGAAAAAAAUAGAAACCACUCAGAUGUACCAACCAAAACAUUUUGAUUUGAAAAACUCCUAGAUGAAUGGCCAUUUAACACCAUGAAACAUAAAAUAGUACAGUUGUCACAUACCUGUUUAAGCACUCAAAAUACACCAGUAACGUAGGUAGAAACAUUAGUAACAGCAUAAGCGCACAACAUAAUAAUGUAGGUAGAUAGAUUGCUCACCAUAAAGCAGCACAAUCGAUAGGGCAUAAAAAUUCAAAAGGAGUUAUAAGAGCAGCGUGCAAUAGAAUGAAUGUUUCAAAGCGGCGGCAAUGAACUUGCAACAAAUUAUUUCUAAACCCACGCAAAGAUCACAUGAAAUCUACCUCAUAGAAUGAAAAUGUGAUGAUAGAGAAACUUAGCAAUUAUGCCAAUCGCUUCUGUACCUGUGGAGAUUACUAAUUGAUAGCACAUAAGGUUUAGAAAACACUGAACAAGCCAAGAUAAAAUUUUGAACGCCAACCACAAAAGUAACAAAUGAAAUGAAUGACCAACUCAACUACAAUAAGCUCUGCUAGAGAGCCUGGCAACGGAUAACUAAACAAAGUGCAUUUAUGAAAACCAAAAUUCAAAAUGGACAAAGUGGAGUGACUAAUGAGAAUAGUCCUAAUACACCAGACUACUUGCAACGAAAAGGAGGAACCAUUUUGUAAAUACACAAGGAGGUGCCGCAACAACUCAGUUAUGAAUUGAUGCCGUCAUGCCAGAAACAAAGACUUUACAAGAAUGAAAGAGGGACUGAAAUGCACGAUCAAAUAGGAAGGGGUAAAAAAUGGCCAUGCUAAGAAUGAGAAAUAACAGUUUCAUAUCUACCUACAUUAAAUAAAUUAAUGAGCUAAGAAAUACCUCAGUUUUCAAUUCUUGAAAGUGAAGCUCUUCCGCAAGGUGUUAAAAUAGUUGUCAGUCAACACCGACAUAGAGAAGUGAAGGCUUGCGUAUACUAAAUUAUAGCGAUAAUUUUCAAAACAGGGUUUC